rnacentral:rRNA from 1 species
GACGAACGCUGGCGGCGUGCCUAAUACAUGCAAGUCGAGCGAAGCGGCGGAUGGGUGAGUAACGCGUGGGGAACCUGCAUUUAAGCCUGGGAUACCAUUUGGAAACAGAUGACAAUACCAGAUACUUAGGUAUGGAGCUGCGAAGCAUUAGCUAGUUGGUAAGGUAACGGCCUACCAAGGCGAUGAUGCAUAGCCGGGUUGAGAGGCUGAUCGGCCACAGUGGGACUGAGACACGGCCCAGACUCCUACGGUAGGCAGCAGUGGGGAAUCUUCCACAAUGGGCGAAAGUCUGAUGGAGCAACGCCGCGUGUGUGAAGAAGGUUUUCGGAUCGUAAAGCUCUGUUGUUGGUGAGGCGUUAACCGACCAGAAAGUCACGGCUAACUCCGUGCCAGCAGCCGCGGUAAUUC